rnacentral:lncRNA from 1 species
UAGUUCAUUUUCUUUAGGUGUUUGAUAUUGUUUUAAGUAAUAUUUUUUCAUAUUUUUAUUGAAUAGAUAUUUAAUUUCACUAAAGAAAUUAAUUUUUCUUACAUUAACUUUUGUAUAAUGACUGUGCCUCAUUGAGAUAUUAAUUCAAAUGGUGUACUGUAGAUUUGUAGUGCAAAAAUUGCCUUUUUCCCUAUUCUGUGGAAGAUUUCUUCUUAAGUAUUUGCUAGAAGUUAUAGUGGACUCUCUGGAACUGGAAAAGUAUGGGAAAUUAUUUUUUAAACAAUUUAUGUUUUUGUAUGUUCUUAUUUUUAUAAAAAAUUGAAUAUUUUAAAAAAAAUUUCUUUGCAGUAACAUUCUACAGAUAUCAUCUUAAAGUGUCACUUAAUGUCAUGAUGUCUAUAGUGAUACUACUACCUUUUCAAUUCUGAUAUUAGUCACUUGUACCUUAUAUUUUCUUCACAUAGAAGUUUCUCAGUUUUCAUGAUCUUCCAAAGACCACUAUUUUUUGUUUUGUUCAUCCUCUCUAUUUGUACAAAUUUUUGUUUUAUUUUCAUUUGUUCCUGUUUCCAUCAUUUUCUUUCAUUUAAAAUAUUUGGCUUAAUAGUUGUUCC